rnacentral:lncRNA from 1 species
CAAUGAUUAAGCAUUGAGGUCUAUCCCGAUGGGGCUUUUUCUAUAAACCUACAUCGUUGGAAACGCCUCAUAGAGUAACUAUGUAGUUUCCUUUACUCAUAGAACUACCUGUUAGAUCUGUGGGAAAAAACUACAAGACAAAGCUGCCAAUUAAACUAUGAAAAACCUAACAGUUUUUUUUUUAAUCUUAGGUAUUGGCAUAUCCCAAUGAUCUGUGUCAAGUUUUAGGGUGGGAUAACUUAGGUGAGUUUUAGUUAGUGACUAUAAUUUGGGGGGAGGGGUUACCAUUCCAGUUCAGAUGAUGAAUUUAAUGUUCAACUGCUGAAUGAUACAGAUAUGAACUAAAACUUAAUUCUGAUAGAGCUGAGUAUAACAAAAUAUUUAAAUAAGCAUAUAUUUAAGUUUUUUAAUCAUGAGUAAGUAACCCAUAAUCUAUUAUUUGGUAUCCACAGGAAUUAAUAUGAUUUGAACUUGGUAAGUUUUUGGUAAGUAGAAUAUUUAAUUUCUAUUCAAAUAGGAUUCAGAAGUUCUGAAAACAAUGAAAUUUUGAGUAUGGUAUUCCAUUACUAUUGUGACUGCUAGUUAUUUAGGUGUAAAACAGAAUUAUCAAGAUUUUGGCCAAAAAUUUGGCCAAAAAUUUGCUGUAAUACUUGUACUCAUUGGAAAAAAAGGAAGACACAGCAUAUGUAGGGCAUGAAAUGCCCUGGUCCCUUGUAUACUUUAUUAAACUAGUAUGUAAAUAGCAAGUAUGAUUGGAUAGUUUCCUACGUAAGUUUUAUAGGUAUAAAGAGGGUAAAAAGGUAACGAGUU